AUGCUUACUUCAGCAGCACAUAUGCUAAAAUUAGAAUAAUAUAGAGGAUUAGCCCUCUGAGCAAAGAUAACAUGCAAAUUAGUGUGAAGCACUCCAAAUUUUU
ensembl:snRNA U6 U6 spliceosomal RNA